AAUGAACGUUGGCGGCAUGGAUUAGGCAUGCAAGUCGGGGGAAUCCCAGCAAUGGGGGAACCGGCGUAAGGGGCAGUAAGGCAUGGGUACCUACCUUGGGGUUCGGGAUAGCCAUCAGAGAUGGUGGGUAAUACCGGAUGACGUCGUGAGAACAAAGAUUUAUCGCCCGUAGAGGGGCCCAUGUGAUAUUAGCUAGUUGGUGGGGUAACGGCCCACCAAGGCGAAGAUGUCUAGCGGGUGUGAGAGCACGACCCGCGCCACUCGCACUGAGACACUGGCGAGACACCUACGGGUGGCUGCAGUCGAGGAUCUUCGGCAAUGAGCGCAAGCUUGACCGAGCGAUGCCGCGUGAGCGAUGAAGGCCUUCGGGUUGUAAAGCUCUUUAGUGGGGGAGAAAAGCCGCAAGGUGUGAUCUAUCCCAAAAAUAAGCACGGGCUAAGUUCGUGCCAGCAGCCGCCGUAA
rnacentral:rRNA from 1 species